CUACGGGGGGCUGCAGUGAGGAAUCUUGCGCAAUGGGGGAAACCCUGACGCAGCGACGCCGCGUGGGUGAUGAAGGCCUUCGGGUCGUAAAGCCCUGUCGAGAGGGAAGAAUUGCAUUUAGGUUAAUAGCCUAAUUGUUUGACGGUACCUCCAAAGGAAGCACCGGCUAACUCCGUGCCAGCAGCCGCGGUAAUACGGAGGGUGCAAGCGUUGUUCGGAAUCACUGGGCGUAAAGGGCGUGUAGGCGGCUGAGUAAGUCAGGUGUGAAAUCCCUCGGCUCAACCGAGGAAGUGCAUUUGAUACUGCUCAUCUUGAGUACUGGAGAGGGAGGUGGAAUUCCCGGUGUAGAGGUGAAAUUCGUAGAUAUCGGGAGGAACACCAGUGGCGAAGGCGAUCUCCUGGACAGAUACUGACGCUAAGGCGCGAAAGCGUGGGGAGCAAACAGGAUUAGAUACCCUCGUAGUC
rnacentral:rRNA from 1 species